rnacentral:rRNA from 1 species
GACGAACGCUGGCGGCGUGCUUAACACAUGCAAGUCGAACGAUGAAGCUGGAGCUUGCUCCGGUGGAUUAGUGGCGAACGGGUGAGUAACACGUGAGUAACCUGCCCUUGACUCUGGGAUAACUGCUAGAAAUGGUAGCUAAUACCGGAUACGACCCUCGGCGGCAUCGCCAGGGGGUGGAAAGAAUUUCGGUCAAGGAUGGACUCGCGGCCUAUCAGCUAGUUGGUGAGGUAACGGCUCACCAAGGCGACGACGGGUAGCCGGCCUGAGAGGGUGACCGGCCACACUGGGACUGAGACACGGCCCAGACUCCUACGGGAGGCAGCAGUGGGGAAUAUUGCACAAUGGGCGCAAGCCUGAUGCAGCAACGCCGCGUGAGGGAUGACGGCCUUCGGGUUGUAAACCUCUUUUAGUAGGGAAGAAGCGAAAGUGACGGUACCUGCAGAAAAAGCACCGGCUAACUACGUGCCAGCCGCCGCCGUAA